AACGUUGCCUAGGUCUCUCUCCAGUUGCAGUGAAGCCUCCACAUUCUGAUCCUCUGGGGGUUUUGGUAGCUAUGGGAGCCGGCGCUACCUCUGCUCGAGGACACAGCCUCUCAAGGGCACCUAAUCAUUCCCAAGGGCAAAAGCCACGGGGACUUUGCAACAGAUCAGACAAAUGGAACCAGCUAAUUAAAGCUCAUGACUAGCUAGGCUGAUGACAUGGCAUGAAUUCCUCAGGACUUACAUUGGAGCAUCCCUUGGCCUUGGUGUUUCCCUUGGAAGAAGGAAGUGCAGCAGAGCCUUCUGAGCUGAGAGAGAGACAGUGCUAGGAGCUCCAAACUCAAGUUCAUCAAUAUUGCACAACAGACACACGUGUUCCCAGGAAAACUAAGUCAGAAUAGUGCUGAUCACCAGAAAAUGUGAAAGCCAAGGCAAUGAUUUGUCUGUGAACCCGACGUCUUUAAAUCUAACUUCAAGUCCUAUAUGCAUGGAUGCAAUAAAUAUAACUUAGUUU